AUACGUAGGGGGCAAGCGUUAUCCGGAAUCACUGGGCGUAAAGGGUGCGUAGGCGGCCAAUAAAGUCAGGGGUUAAAGGCUAGGGCUCAACCUUAGUAAGCCUUUGAAACUUAUUGGCUUGAGUGCAGGAGAGGUAAGUGGAAUCCCUAGUGUAGCGGUGAAAUGCGUAGAUAUUAGGAGGAACACCAGUGGCGAAGGCGACUUACUGGACUGUAACUGACGCUGAGGCACGAAAGCGUGGGUAGCGAACAGGAUUAGAUACCCUGGUAGUCCACGCCGUAAACGAUGAGUGCUAGGUGUUGGAGCCGACAGGCUUCGGUGCCGCAGCAAACGCAUUAAGCACUCCGCCUGGGGAGUACGUUCGCAAGAAUGAA
rnacentral:rRNA from 1 species